GCUGCUGCCAAUUCAUCCCCUUUUGGGUCUUCACUUUUCGGGUCGUCAGGUACGCCCUCGCCGGGUUUGUUUGGGUCCAGUUCGGCUGCUGCUUCAAAUUCGGGCUUGGGCUUGUUUGAUUCUUCUCCGUUUUUAUCAUCAACUACUGCUUCUACUGGAAAUGCAGCAUCUAGUGCUAGUACAACUCCAUUUUCUUCAUCUCUAUUUGUGUCUUCUUCUUCAGCAUCAUCUUCACCUUUUGGAUCAUCUUCAACAGCCCCUUCAUUUGGUUUUCCGUCAUCAGCGGCCUCACUUUCGUUCCAGUCGGCGUCAAAUUCAGCUUCUUCUUCACCUGGACUUUCGUUUGCCAGCUCGGCAGCUGCCAGUUCCUUUUCUUCUUCAUCUGCAUUUUCUUUCCCUGGUGCUUCACCCGCAAGUUCAGCUUCUUCUGCACCGGGAUUUUCUUU
rnacentral:misc_RNA from 1 species